rnacentral:rRNA from 1 species
CGCCCAUGGCGAACCUUGUGAUACUAACCGCCCGAAGCGCCGCUAGAGUCUUCGGACGAUUGUGGUUGUGGAGCGCGGGACCUGAACUUGUAGUAGUCAAGCGAU